CCUGAAAGCUUUUGAGCUAUCUUUGUAUAGGGUUAAUGUUUCAAAAUUAAAAGAAAUACAAAGAUAGAAAUGACAUGUUUUUCGCAAAAGCUGAUAGCUGGUUAAGAAAAAAAUACAUUUACGUGUAGAUUUAAAAGUUACUGUUUUUAAAAGAAAUAAAGGUAAUUUUAAGUUUAAGUUAUAAAGGGAUGAGCUUUUAUAAUAAUAAGAAAAUUUAAGCUUUUUGUAUAGUUGAAAUUGCUAAUCAGUAAUAUGUUUUCGUAAAAAUAAGCUGAAAUUUGUGUUUUUAUUUUUAUUUCUUUUUCUUUAAAAAUUUUUUUUAGAGCGAUAAGUAUAAGAUUAGUAUUAAUGUUUUAUUAUUCAAAAAAAAAGAAAUUGAAUUAAAAUAGUUUUGUAAAAUUGAUUUAUUUUUUAAGAAUUCGGCAAAUAUUUUUUACGCCUGUUUAACAAAAACAUGGCCUUUUGAAAAUUUAUAUAAAAGGUUGGGCCUGCCCGGUGAUCUGAAAUGGUUUAACGGCUGCGAUUGAAACCGUACUAAGGUAGCAUAAUAAUUUGCCCUUUAAUUGGGGGAGAGAAUGAAUGGUUUGACGGUAAAAAAGCUGUUUUAAAAAUAAUUAAAGAAGUUAACUUUUAAGUGAAAAGGCUUAAGUUUUUAUAAAAGACGAGAAGACCCCGUCGAGCUUAAUUAGGAUAGCUUUAUUUAAAAGAUAUCUAAAAUUUUAUUGGGGCAAUAGAAAAUGAAAAGAAUCAUUUUUUUAUAGAAUAAGGAUCCAGUUUUGACUGAAAAAAGCAAAAGCUACCGCGGGGAUAACAGGGUAAUUUUUUCUGAGAGUUCAUAUUUAAGAGAAAGUUUGCUACCUCGAUGUUGGAUUAGAAUUUCUUUAUGCUUGCAGCAGGUAUAAUAGUAGGACUGUUCGUCCUUUAAAAUUUUACAUGAUCUGAGUUCAGACCGGUGUAAACUAGGUCGGUUUCUAUCUUUAUUUUAAAAAACUUUUGUACGAAAGGAUCAAGUUUU
rnacentral:rRNA from 1 species